CCACUCUUCUGGGAACAAAAGAACCUCAAACCUGAGCUCAUAUCUUGUGCUUUCAAGAGGCACCGACUCACUUUGAGAAUUAAAAGUGGUCUCCUGUGUAACUAAAGCACAGCUUCCUUUCCUGCCUUCCACUCUUCUGGGAACAAAAGAACCUCAAACCUGAGCUCAUAUCUUGUGCUUUCAAGAGGCACCGACUCACUUUGAGAAUUAAA